rnacentral:rRNA from 1 species
GACGAACGCUGGCGGCGUGCUUAACACAUGCAAGUCGAACGGAAAGGCCCUGCUUUUGUGGGGUGCUCGAGUGGCGAACGGGUGAGUAACACGUGAGUAACCUGCCCUUGACUUUGGGAUAACUUCAGGAAACUGGGGCUAAUACCGGAUAGGAGCUCCUGCUGCAUGGUGGGGGUUGGAAAGUUUCGGCGGUUGGGGAUGGACUCGCGGCUUAUCAGCUUGUUGGUGGGGUAGUGGCUUACCAAGGCUUUGACGGGUAGCCGGCCUGGGAGGGUGACCGGCCACAAUGGGACUGAGAUACGGCCCAGACUCCUACGGGAGGCAGCAGGGGGGAAUAUUGCACAAUGGGCGGAAGCCUGAUGCAGCAACGCCGCGUGCGGGAUGGCGGCCUUCGGGUUGUAAACCGCUUUCGCCUGUGACGAAGCGUGAGUGACGGUAAUGGGUAAAGAAGCACCGGCUAACUACGUG